GUAGACUCCGACGUGGAGGGGCUAGCUGGUGAGAAAGGGGAAAAGGUAUGUCUGGAGAAUCUGGCACUAAAGGACAGCACAGAGUGAGGAGACCUUGGACAUAAUGGUCCAACAUGGAGACUCUGGGAAGCCAGGUGAUGUAGGACCCCCUGGACUGCCUGGUCCUCGGGGGUUGAAAGGCAUGAGCGGUGUGCAUGGCAGGCCGGGUAUUGAGGGUCCACCGGGACAAGAUAUAUCUGACCAGCAUAUUAUUGAUGUGGUAUAAAGAAUGUUGCAAGAGAGGCUGGCAGCAGUAGCAGUGAGCACUAAAAGGGCUGUGCCGUUGAACAACCGGCUAUUCUGGUCCUCCGUGAUUAAUGGUUCCACAAGGACCACAUGAUUUGCCUGGUUCCCGAAGAAUUCCUGGAACGAUGGGAGCUGACAGACGGAUUGGAAACACAUGUCUUAAAGCAGGAUGUGCUCCAUUCGACUGCCGGAGAGUACUGAGCCGUUUUGAGCAGGAGGAGAAUAUAUAGGGAGGUCUGCAGUGGGCGGGGCUCACGCUCAACACUGCAGUGUCGAUGUUAUGACUCUCCAAACUAAUCCUACAUUUGUGAUGUGUCU